AGCUGUUCCCCUCUGGAGGUUUUAACCUUCAAACUCAUUGGCCGCGGAGAAAUCCGGCGGCCAUUUUUUUGCGCGCU
rnacentral:ncRNA from 6 species